AGCAGCCGCGGUAAUUCCAGCUCCAAUAGCGUAUAUUAAAGUUGUUGCAGUUAAAAAGCUCGUAGUUGAAUUUCGGGAUCAAUAUGUUGGUCGUGCCUCGGUACGUACUAGCUUAUUGGUUUCUCCUUUCUGAAGAACCAUGAUGUCAUUUAUUUGGUGUCGUGGGGAAUCAGGACUGUUACUUUGAAAAAAUUAGAGUGUUUAAAGCAGGCUCACGCUUGAAUACAUUAGCAUGGAAUAAUGAAAUAGGACGUUUGAUUCUAUUUUGUUGGUUUCUAGGAUCGACGUAAUGAUUAAUAGGGAUAGUUGGGGGCAUUAGUAUUCAAUUGUCAGAGGUGAAAUUCUUGGAUUUAUUGAAGACUAACUACUGCGAAAGCAUUUGCCAAGGAUGUUUUCAUUAAUCAAGAACGAAAGUUAGGGGAUCGAAGACGAUCAGAUACCGUCGUAGUCUUAACCAUAAACUAAUGCCGACUAGGGAUCGGAUGAUGUUAAUUUUUAAUUGUACUC
rnacentral:rRNA from 1 species